AGAGUUUGAUCAUGGCUCAGGAUGAACGCUGGCGGCGUGCUUAACACAUGCAAGUCGAACGGACGAUGAAGAGCUUGCUCUUCAGAGUUAGUGGCGGACGGGUGAGUAACGCGUGGGUAACCUGCCUCAUACAGGGGGAUAGCAGCUGGAAACGGCUGAUAAAACCGCAUAAGCGCACAGCAUCGCAUGAUGCAGUGUGAAAAACUCCGGUGGUAUGAGAUGGACCCGCGUCUGAUUAGCUUGUUGGUGAGGUAACGGCCCACCAAGGCGACGAUCAGUAGCCGGCCUGAGAGGGUGACCGGCCACAUUGGGACUGAGACACGGCCCAAACUCCUACGGGAGGCAGCA
rnacentral:rRNA from 1 species